ACCACCAACUGCCAACUAUAUGAUGUUUCGCUAACCGGCAUCCUUCAGAGGUUCAGUUCCUAAUUAGCAGAACCAUUACAACCAACCGUCAGCUUUGCUUCUGGAAAUUCAGAACUUGGUUGUUGCAUCCAAACUAUAACAGAAAUGGAAGCGUAUGUUUUGAUGUCCUUAAGGUGUCAGAUCAUACAAGUCUUUUCAUUGGUUCCUCGGAGUAUCGGCCGAUUCGCUUGUCUGCAUGCGCAUUGGCAUACUU